rnacentral:lncRNA from 1 species
AGCAGCUGCUCGGGACAGAGGGACAACUGCUCGGGACAGAGGGGCAGCAGCUUGGGACAGAGGGGCGGCAGCAGCUUGGGACAGAGGGGCGAUAGCAGCUCGGGACAGAGGGGCGGCAGCUGCUCGGGACAGAGGGGCGGCAGCUGCUCGGGACAGAGGGGCGGCAGCUGCUCGGGACAGAGGGGCAGCUGCUCGGGACAGAGGGGCGGCAGCAGCUUGGGACAGAGGGGCGAUAGCAGCUCGGGACAGAGGGGCGGCAGCUGCUCUGGACAGAGGGGCAGCUGCUCGAGCGGCCCCUGGCUGACUGGCGGCACUGGCGGCCCCUGGCUGACUGGCGGCACUGGCGGCCCCUGGCUGACUGGCGACACUGGCGGCCCCUGGCUGACUGGCGGCCCCUGGCUGACUGGCGGCACUGGCGGCCCCUGGCUGACUGGCGGCACUGGCGGCCCCUGGCUUAAUGGUGGCCCCUGGCUGACUGGCGACACUGGCGGCCCCUGGCUGACUGGCGGCACUGGCGGCCCCUGGCUGACUGGCGGCACUGGCGGCCCCUGGCUGACUGGCGGCACUGGCGGCCCCUGGCUGACUGGCGGCACUGGCGGCCCCUGGCUGACUGGCGGCACUGGCGGCCCCUGGCACACUGGCGGCCCCUGGCAGACGGGCGGCACUGGCGGCUCCUGGCAGACGGGCGGCACUGGCGGCUCCUGGCAGACGGGCGGCACUGGCGGCUCCUGGCAGACGGGCGGCACUGGUGGCGCUGGGCAGACGGGCGGCACUGGCGGCGCUGGGCAGACGGGCGGCACUGGCGGCGCUGGGCAGACGGGCGGCACUGGGCAGACGGGCGGCACUGGCGGCGCUGGGCAGACGGGCGGCACUGGCGGCUCCUGGCAGACGGGCGGCACUGGCGGCGCUGGGCAGACGGGCGGCACUGGCGGCGCUGGGCAGACGGGCGGCACUGGCGGCGCUGGAGAGGAGGAAGGCUCUGGAAGCGCCGGACUGAGUAGCUCUCGUAGCGCCGAACAGGCGGGAGACUCCGGCAGCGCUGGAGAGGAGGAAGCCCCUGUAAGGAUGGGCCGGAGAGACAGCCUGGUACGUGGGGCUGCCACCGGAGGGCUGGUGCGUGGAGGUGGUGACGGAUAG